rnacentral:rRNA from 1 species
CUACGGGGUGCUCCAGUGGGGAAUAUUGCACAAUGGGCGCAAGCCCGAUGCAGCCAUGCCGCGUGUAUGAAGAAGGCCUUCGGGUUGUAAAGUACUUUCAGCGGGGAGGAAGGGAGUAAAGUUAAUACCUUUGCUCAUUGACGUUACCCGCAGAAGAAGCACCGGCUAACUCCGUGCCAGCAGCCGCGGUAAUACGGAGGGUGCAAGCGUUGAUCGGAAUUACUGGGCGUAAAGCGCACGCAGGCGGUUUGUUAAGUCAGAUGUGAAAUCCCCGGGCUCAACCUGGGAACUGCAUCUGAUACUGGCAAGCUUGAGUCUCGUAGAGGGGGGUAGAAUUCCAGGUGUAGCGGUGAAAUGCGUAGAGAUCAGGAGGAAUACCGGUGGCGAAGGCGGCCCCCUGGACGAAGACUGACGCUCAGGUGCGAAAGCGUGGGGAGCAAACAGGAUUAGAUACCCUCGUAGUC